CCUACGGGAGGCAGCAGUGGGGGAUAUUGCACAAUGGGGGAAACCCUGAUGCAGCGACGCCGCGUGUGGGAAGACGGUCCUCUGGAUUGUAAACCACUGUCCCCAGGGACGAAGAUGACGGUACCUGGGGAGGAAGCUCCGGCUAACUACGUGCCAGCAGCCGCGGUACUACGUAGGGAGCGAGCGUUGUCCGGAAUUACUGGGUGUAAAGGGAGCGUAGGCGGGACUGCAAGUUGGGUGUCAAAUCUACCGGCUCAACCGGUAGCCGCACUCAAAACUGCAGUUCUUGAGUGAAGUAGAGGCAGGCGGAAUGCCUAGUGUAGCGGUGAAAUGCGUAGAGAUUAGGAGGAACACCAGUGGCGAAGGCGGCCUGCUGGGCUUUUACUGACGCUGAGGCUCGAAAGUGUGGGGAGCAAACAGGAUUAGAUACCCCAGUAGUC
rnacentral:rRNA from 1 species